GUAAAAAAUUUAUAAGAAUAUGAUGUUGGUUCAGAUUAAGCGCUAAAUAAGGACAUGACACAUGCGAAUCAUACGUUUAUUAUUGAUAAGAUAAUAAAUAUGUGGUGUAAACGUGAGUAAUUUUAUUAGGAAUUAAUGAACUAUAGAAUAAGCUAAAUACUUAAUAUAUUAUUAUAUAAAAAUAAUUUAUAUAAUAAAAAGGAUAUAUAUAUAAUAUAUAUUUAUCUAUAGUCAAGCCAAUAAUGGUUUAGGUAGUAGGUUUAUUAAGAGUUAAACCUAGCCAACGAUCCAUAAUCGAUAAUGAAAGUUAGAACGAUCACGUUGACUCUGAAAUAUAGUCAAUAUCUAUAAGAUACAGCAGUGAGGAAUAUUGGACAAUGAUCGAAAGAUUGAUCCAGUUACUUAUUAGGAUGAUAUAUAAAAAUAUUUUAUUUUAUUUAUAAAUAUUAAAUAUUUAUAAUAAUAAUAAUAAUAAUAUAUAUAUAUAAAUUGAUUAAAAAUAAAAUCCAUAAAUAAUUAAAAUAAUGAUAUUAAUUACCAUAUAUAUUUUAUAUGGAUAUAUAUAUUAAUAAUAAUAUUAAUUUAUUAUUAUUAAUAAUAUAUUUUAAUAGUCCUGACUAAUAUUUGUGCCAGCAGUCGCGGUAACACAAAGAGGGCGAGCGUUAAUCAUAAUGGUUUAAAGGAUCCGUAGAAUGAAUUAUAUAUUAUAAUUUAGAGUUAAUAAAAUUAAUUAAAGAAUUAUAAUAGUAAAGAUGAAAUAAUAAUAAUAAUUAUAAGACUAAUAUAUGUGAAAAUAUUAAUUAAAUAUUAACUGACAUUGAGGGAUUAAAACUAGAGUAGCGAAACGGAUUCGAUACCCGUGUAGUUCUAGUAGUAAACUAUGAAUACAAUUAUUUAUAAUAUAUAUUAUAUAUAAAUAAUAAAUGAAAAUGAAAGUAUUCCACCUGAAGAGUACGUUAGCAAUAAUGAAACUCAAAACAAUAGACGGUUACAGACUUAAGCAGUGGAGCAUGUUAUUUAAUUCGAUAAUCCACGACUAACCUUACCAUAUUUUGAAUAUUAUAAUAAUUAUUAUAAUUAUUAUAUUACAGGCGUUACAUUGUUGUCUUUAGUUCGUGCUGCAAAGUUUUAGAUUAAGUUCAUAAACGAACAAAACUCCAUAUAUAUAAUUUUAAUUAUAUAUAAUUUUAUAUUAUUUAUUAAUAUAAAGAAAGGAAUUAAGACAAAUCAUAAUGAUCCUUAUAAUAUGGGUAAUAGACGUGCUAUAAUAAAAUGAUAAUAAAAUUAUAUAAAAUAUAUUUAAUUAUAUUUAAUUAAUAAUAUAAAACAUUUUAAUUUUUAAUAUAUUUUUUUAUUAUAUAUUAAUAUGAAUUAUAAUCUGAAAUUCGAUUAUAUGAAAAAAGAAUUGCUAGUAAUACGUAAAUUAGUAUGUUACGGUGAAUAUUCUAACUGUUUCGCACUAAUCACUCAUCACGCGUUGAAACAUAUUAUUAUCUUAUUAUUUAUAUAAUAUUUUUUAAUAAAUAUUAAUAAUUAUUAAUUUAUAUUUAUUUAUAUCAGAAAUAAUAUGAAUUAAUGCGAAGUUGAAAUACAGUUACCGUAGGGGAACCUGCGGUGGGCUUAUAAAUAUCUUAAAUAUUCUUACA
rnacentral:ncRNA from 2 species